rnacentral:tRNA from 1 species
CCCUCGAUAGCUCAGUUGGAAGAGCGCGAGACUGUAAUUGGAUAAGGCAUCUUGAGGUCGCUGGUUCGAUCCCGGCUCGAGGGA